UACGUAGGGGCCGAGCGUUGUCCGGAGUUACUGGGCGUAAAGCGCGCGCAGGCGGCCGUUCUUGCCCGCCGUGAAAGCCCCCGGCUCAACCGGGGAGGGUCGGCGGGGACGGGGCGGCUUGAGGACGGCAGGGGCCGGUGGAAUCCCCGGUGUAGUGGUGAAAUGCGUAGAGAUCGGGGGGAACACCCGUGGCGAAGGCGGCCGGCUGGGCCGUUCCUGACGCUGAGGCGCGAAGGCGUGGGGAGCGAACGGG
rnacentral:rRNA from 1 species